GGCUACGUAGCUCAGUUUUGGUUAGAGCACAGCAUUCAUAACGCUGAGGUCAUGGGUUCAAUUCCCAUCGUAGCUA
rnacentral:tRNA from 1 species